rnacentral:rRNA from 1 species
UACGGGGGGUGCGAGCGUUGUCCGGAAUCACUGGGCGUAAAGGGCGCGUAGGCGGCUUUAUAAGUCGGGGGUGAAAGCCUGUGGCUCAACCACAGAAUUGCCUUCGAUACUGUAGAGCUUGAGACCGGAAGAGGUAAGUGGAACUGCGAGUGUAGAGGUGAAAUUCGUAGAUAUUCGCAAGAACACCAGUGGCGAAGGCGGCUCACUGGCCCGGUACUGACGCUGAGGUGCGAAAGCGUGGGGAGCAAACAGG